rnacentral:rRNA from 1 species
CAAGUCGAGGGGCAGCAUGAUUUGUAGCAAUACAGAUUGAUGGCGACCGGCGCACGGGUGAGUAACGCGUAUGCAACUUACCUAUCAGAGGGGGAUAGCCCGGCGAAAGUCGGAUUAAUACCCCAUAAAACAGGGGUCCCGCAUGGGAAUAUUUGUUAAAGAUUCAUCGCUGAUAGAUAGGCAUGCGUUCCAUUAGGCAGUUGGCGGGGUAACGGCCCACCAAACCGACGAUGGAUAGGGGUUCUGAGAGGAAGGUCCCCCACAUUGGUACUGAGACACGGACCAAACUCCUACGGGAGGCAGCAGUGAGGAAUAUUGGUCAAUGGCCGAGAGGCUGAACCAGCCAAGUCGCGUGAAGGAAGAAGGAUCUAUGGUUUGUAAACUUCUUUUAUAGGGGAAUAAAGUGGAGGACGUGUCCUUUUUUGUAUGUACCCUAUGAAUAAGCAUCGGCUAACUCCGUGCCAGCAGCCGCGGUAAUACGGAGGAUGCGAGCGUUAUCCGGAUUUAUUGGGUUUAAAGGGUGCGUAGGUGGUGAUUUAAGUCAGCGGUGAAAGUUUGUGGCUCAACCAUAAAAUUGCCGUUGAAACUGGGUUACUUGAGUGUGUUUGAGGUAGGCGGAAUGCGUGGUGUAGCGGUGAAAUGCAUAGAUAUCACGCAGAACUCCGAUUGCGAAGGCAGCUUACUAAACCAUAACUGAC